GGAGGCGUUAAGCGAAAUUGGUAUCGCCCCGGUCUUGAAAACCGGUCGCCAGUGAUGAGCUGGCGUGGGGGUUCGAGUCCCUCCGCCUCCG
rnacentral:tRNA from 1 species